GCAAAGUCGAAAGAUAAUUUACGUUAUUAUUUUUGCGUAAUUAUUUGUGAUAUCACGAUACGUAUAGCGUAUAAAGUUACUAUUUCACGAAUAUUAUCUUCUGUAAAUAUUAUUAGAACGUUAUAUCGUAUUUCUGAUACGGAAAAUGCUCGUACAUCGUUGUUAGAUUCUCGAAUUUCGGUCGUUCGAAAAUUAUUAAAAAGAUGGCGACGGACCGUUAACGAAUUUUUUUUUUCGCAAUAAUUAUAUAUUAUUUUUUUAUUCGUUUCCUUAUAUGAUGAUAAUUAGUUUAUUAAAUUGAAAGUGUCAAUUAAAUCGUACUAAAAUAGAACAGUAAUGUUUUAUUUUGGCAAUCGUAUAUCCUUAUAUAAGGAUAUCGGAAUCGUGAAUGAUCUAGAAGAAAUGGUUACAAAUUGUAUGGAAUUGCUCGAAGAAAGGAAUAACGAAUAAAACAAAAAAAGAGAGAAUAUAAUUAGGCCGAGUGUCACUCCCUCGACAGAUGUCGUCCUUCGGUAUUAAAGCCCUGUACCCGAACAAUGGAAGUCGAUCUGCUGUAAGACCACCGACCAGUUUACCAAAGUCCGAGAUAAACGAUUUUACGAGGAAACUUUUACCAAGAAUCUGCCACUCGCGAUAAUGAACUCUCGUGAAAAUCAUUGCAAAUUUUUUAUGAGUCCAAUUCAACGGGCGAUAAUCGAUCGGAUCGAUGCUACGUUUAAAGAAUUCCACAAAUUGAGAAAACUCGAAGUCGAUCUUAUUCUAUAAACGCUUCCUCUUCGUCACACGUAUUGCAAACAUACGUAAGUAUAUCUCUUAAAGGAUAUUAAAGGAGAGAGAUAGAUAAUACUCGACAUGUAAAUAGAAACGGGCCUUAAAUUUCCGGGAAACGAUUCGGUAAGAAACAAUUGAGCAUCGCGUUCUACAAGGUCAUCGACGAAAUCUCUUCAGUUUUAUAAAGUACUUCGACGCGUAAGCACGUAUCUCCGAAAGUGGGAGACGUCGAUCAAAUAUCUUUCGGAUUAAUAUUUUAUUAUAGAAUAUUUUAAUUAUAAUUAAUAUAUAUAUAUUAAUUUGUCGUCUUUUACCGAGUGUUAUAAUAGAACAAAUUUUCAUAAAUUUUAGGUUAUGUUUUACGCCAAGGUUUUUUCCAAGUUCCAGCUUUCCAGAUUUUUUGUGAUAGUGUCAGAGUUUUGAUGAUAGUGUCAUAGUUGUGAAGGUGAUCUUAGAAUCAGUGUUUUUUUUCGUGACAUCUCUAUUUAAUAUCAACUACAUUGGAGUAAAACUAAAAUUAGAAUUAAUGGAAAUUUAUAAAACAAAGUCAGUGUUUGUGUUAUUGCGUCAUACUUCGUCAACAAAGGGCAGGAUGCUCAUCGUGCAAAGGAUCAACGAAGACUCCGAUCAAUAGUGUUACAAUAGUGUUCGAAGCAAUAAAUAAAUCAAGUCGAUAAAAAUUCGCGAGUGUUAGUGCAUCGUUCUUCGUUAUCUUGGAUGCUCAUCGUGCAAAGGAUCAACAGUACCUCCGGACGAAUAAAAAAAGAAUUCUUCGUCGUUAUCCUGGAGCAGGAUGCUCAUCGUGCGAAGGAUCAACAUAGACUCCAAUCGUCAUUGCAAUCGUGCGCGUGGCAAUGGAUGGAGUAUUGUAUCGUUUAGAUAAAGUCAAAAUCGCGAAUUAGAAGCAUCGUUCGUCCGUGAUGAUCUAUCCGCGGUUCGCGAUUGCUUGAUGUUAGAGUUUGUUCGUCAAAAGUAUUUUUAUUUUAUAACAGUCGCACAGACUGUUCGCGUAUUAGAGUCAGUGCAUCAUUGAAGAUAAGUGAAAAACUACUUCUUCUAUAGGAAGAAUAUUGGUGAGUAAUAAAUUGAUAAAUAUCGUAGCUAAUAAUUUUUAUCAUUUCUUUUUUUAUUACAAUAAAUUUAAUUCGUUUUCAAUUUUUUCUUUUUUUCAAAUCGUCGUUAUAAUCCUAUCUCGUCGGAGUACGAGGACGUUGACCUAGCUUAUGUUCAACCUAUUAUGGAUCAACCUGGCUCAUCGUCACGAGGACCGACUCCCCCAUUUACAACGCGGACGAGUGUUUUGGAGCCAUCGCAGAACUUCUUAAGUAGUGAGUGAACAAAUUUGAAGUCCCUCCAGUGCUCAAUCAUGUCGAGGACGAAAGGUCCGAAUCGGCACGAGUUACUGGUUGUAAUUUUUCUUCUAUCACUGACGAGUACGACCGUGAGUAAUUCCUCUUUUGGAUUUACUCGCGAGUGGUUUAUUUGUUUAUUAGGUCAGGAUAGGGUCUUCUUGUUUCAUCGCGAGUAGUUUCAUAAUUAAUAGUGCAAUUAAUUAGCACUUGUUUGGUUCUACCUUGCACGCGACAUUAGUGGUGAAAUCGGGUAUUCAUUUACCCGAUUUCGUCUAAAAAGCACGUAACGUAAUUCACGUUACAUGCAUUGCUCCGUAUCUAGUAUAUUCAAUCGCGAUUUACUACGAUAUAUUUACAUGUAUCGACGUACUAAUAAA